GAUGAACGCUGGCGGCGUGCCUAAUACAUGCAAGUCGAGCGAACAGACGAGGAGCUUGCUCCUCUGACGUUAGCGGCGGACGGGUGAGUAACACGUGGAUAACCUACCUAUAAGACUGGGAUAACUUCGGGAAACCGGAGCUAAUACCGGAUAAUAUAUUGAACCGCAUGGUUCAAUAGUGAAAGACGGUGUUGCUGUCUCUUAUAGAUGGAUCCGCGCCGCAUUAGCUAGUUGGUAAGGUAACGGCUUACCAAGGCAACGAUGCGUAGGCGACGUGAGAGAGUGAUCGGCCACACGGGAACGGAAACACGGUCCAGAGUCCUACGGGAGGCAGCAGUAGGGAAUCUUCCGCAAUGGGCGAAAGCCUGACGGAGCAACGCCGCGUGAGUGAUGAAGGUCUUCGGAUCGUAAAACUCUGUUAUUAGGGAAGAACAAAUGUGUAAGUAACUAUGCACGUCUUGACGGUACCUAGUCAGAAAGCAACGGCUAACUACGUG
rnacentral:rRNA from 1 species